CUUGCUUUACGCUAAGGAUGCCGACUCCCAGAGCCUACCACCAGCGAAGCAUGCCUACGAUUUAAUCCACCUAAUUCCCUUUCAGUACUCGAUUGAAGGGGGGCAGGAGAAGAGGCGGAUAGAGGAGAUCGAUGGAGCACAACGGGAGUGGCGACGCCUGCCCGGCCCAGGCGUUCCGCUACAAUGAGACGCUAUGCGCGUGCAACCCUGGGCGGUACCUGGUCAACGGCAGCUGUGUUAUGUUCGACACGGGCGGGGAGUGGGUUGUGAGCUCUGGAGUUUCGCCGUCCACCAGCUUCCUCACGACGGUGCUACCCGUCGAUUCCAUUACACGCUUCACCCAAUCACAGGCUGUUCUGUUGGAGGCCACCCUCGUCCUCCUUCUCAUAUGGCUCGUCUUCUGCUUCGCCCUGCGCUUCGCCAGGUUCGAUGGCCGGUCCUUCUGGUCCCUUCUCCGCUGGUGGAUCAGCCGCUUUGACAUGUUCUACGCCACCAACCACUGGCUGGAUGACAACAAGGUGGUUAUUAAGAGGAAAACAGAGCUGGGUGGGACAUUUUCUAUAGCAAGCUGGAUAUUGUUCCUUGGUCUUUUAUCUGCGUUGCUGUAUCAGAUAAUUACAAAAAGGAACAUUGAAGUGCAUAAAAUCAGACCUGCAAAUGCUCCGGAUUUGCUUUCUUUUGUUAAUGACUUGGAAUUUAACAUAACAACAAUUUCUAGCAUGAGCUGUUCCAAUUUCCGUGGCCCUGAUUCCCUGUUGGUUGGAACUCCUGGCUUCAUUGACUACAGAGUUUUACCUUUGUCUGUCCAUCAUAUUCAAUAUAAUUGCCAAAAUACUAGUAGUGGUCCUUCUCUGUCUAUUAAGUGUAACAACUGCCCGAUUCCUCGAAGAGAUUACUAUAUUUCAUGGCAGUUCAUUGACCUCCCAAAUCAUCCUGCCACUGCUGUUGGUUUCCAGUUCAACCUAUCAGCAAAAGAUCAUGCUGAUAAUAGGCAUGUUAGCUUUGUCAGUGGAGCAAUGACGUCGGACAAUUUUACAAUUGAUGAACCCAAAACAUUCAGAGGAUCAGAAGUGAACAUAUUGAAGAUUCAUUUGUUUCCUAUGGCAUAUAACAAAUUGAACAAUUUAAAACUCAUUCAGCCUGUAUUUCAUGACUUCAUCUCUGGAUCAUCUUUUUCUGUGGCCUCGGAUCUCCAAGCAUCUCUUGGAACUUCCAAGGAUGGUUUAGUCAAUACCACACUUUAUAUCAGUUCUCUCUCUGAUUACAUUGUGGAGAUUAACAAUGAAAAUAUGAUAGGCAUUGUGGGAUUCUUUGCGGAUGUUGGAGGCCUUUAUGUUUUUAGUCUCAUAGUUUUCCUUUGUUUGUUAAUACAGUGUGAGGCUCGAAUAAAAAAACUUCACUACGAGGAUGUGGCCAUGAGAGAUAUUCUUAGACAAAGACGUGCACAGAAGAACUGGGACAAGCUGAGGAAGUUUGUUAUGUACACAUGGAGUUCUAACAACGUUGUCAUGGAUAGCAACAAGUCUGAGAGACACGACAGUUUGACGUCUAAUUCUUCCCGUGGGAUACAAACAUUACAUAAGCAACCAAGUAGAAAUUUCACAUGCUCUGAGACCUAAUCAAACUGUUCCUCCUUGAGAACAUAAACAUCGUACAUUCAUGAAACUCUGAGCUUAUCACUAAAGCUUCAUGGUACUCUUGAAAGGACUUAUUUUGUUGCGAGGUUGCGACUUCAUGCACGACAUCAUGCCAAUGUUGAUCCACGGGCAGAAGAAAAAUUCCACUUAUAUCGACCGACACAACAUAACGUGACAAGUUUUCAAAACAUAUUAAAUAUAUGUAAGUCUGAACAUGGUCUUCAUUCACAGCUGAACCCAAUGUUUAAGAACGGAUUUGCCUUAGAAAAGCCCUCGUGCAAUUUGAUUGUAAAUGACCUACUAAUCUUUGGUUGUGCUUGCUGCAUUGUUGGAGAUACGGUUUUGGGAAAUUGAAAUGCUGUGUAGUAUGUUUCAUGACUGGGAGACGCUUGAUCUUGUAUAAUUUCAUCAGGAUGGUGAAUGGUCUGUAACAAUUAGUUGUAGUAUAGCAAUGUUGUUUAUUAUAUAAUGCUCUUUCAUUGGACCAAAUGUGGGUAUCCUACGGCAGCCAGAAGUUGCUAUGGGUGUUGGUAUCACCUGUUUGCAGCAGAGCAUAGGAGGCAAGUUAGAGAUGAGAUGGGCUUGUAUCAUUCAAUUGAUUCCUUUUUUAUGUAAUAUAAUGUGUAAUGUAAUACUGAUUACUCCUGUAUGUGAACUAAUAAUGUGCAGUUUUAAAUAGCUCCUAUUAUGCU